CCCUCGGGGCCCAACCUCCCACCCGUGUAUACCGUACCUUGUUGCUUCGGCGGGCCCGCCGCGCAAGCGGCCGCCGGGGGGGCGUCAAACCCCCCUCCCUAGGCGAGCGCCCGCCGGAGACACCAACGUGAACACUGUCUGAAGUUUUGUUGUCUGAGUUCGAUUGUAUCGCAAUCAGUUAAAACUUUCAACAAUGGAUCUCUUGGUUCCGGCAUCGAUGAAGAACGCAGCGAAAUGCGAUAAUUAAUGUGAAUUGCAGAAUUCAGUGAAUCAUCGAGUCUUUGAACGCACAUUGCACCCCCUGGUAUUCCGGGGGGUAUGCCUGUCCGAGCGUCAUUGCUGCCCUCAAGCACGGCUUGUGUGUUGGGUCGUCGUCCCCCCCGGGGACGGGCCCGAAAGGCAGCGGCGGCACCGCGUCCGGUCCUCGAGCGUAUGGGGCUUUGUCACCCGCUCUUGUAGGCCCGGCCGGCGCUGGCCGACGCUGAAAAGCAACCAACUAUUUCUCCAGGUUGACCUCGGAUCAGGUAGGGAUACCCGCUGAACUUAAGCAUAUCAAUAAGC
rnacentral:misc_RNA from 1 species